AUUGAACGCUGGCGGCAGGCCUAACACAUGCAAGUCGAGCGGAUGAAGGGAGCUUGCUCCUGGAUUCAGCGGCGGACGGGUGAGUAAUGCCUAGGAAUCUGCCUGGUAGUGGGGGAUAACGUCCGGAAACGGGCGCUAAUACCGCAUACGUCCUGAGGGAGAAAGUGGGGGAUCUUCGGACCUCACGCUAUCAGAUGAGCCUAGGUCGGAUUAGCUAGUUGGUGGGGUAAAGGCCUACCAAGGCGACGAUCCGUAACUGGUCUGAGAGGAUGAUCAGUCACAAUGGAAAUGAGACACCGUCCAGGAUCCUAAGGGAGGGAGCAGUGGGGAAUAUUGGACAAUGGGCGAAAGCCUGAUCCAGCCAUGCCGCGUGUGUGAAGAAGGUCUUCGGAUUGUAAAGCACUUUAAGUUGGGAGGAAGGGCAGUAAGUUAAUACCUUGCUGUUUUGACGUUACCAACAGAAUAAGCACCGGCUAACUUCGUG
rnacentral:rRNA from 1 species